rnacentral:rRNA from 1 species
CGACACCGGAAACCUGAGGUGCCUUGAACAUUUGUCAAGGGCUUUUUCUUAAGCCUAAAAAGCAUAAAGGAAUAAGAGCUGGGCAAGGACGGGUGCCAGCCGCCGCGGUAACAACCCGCAGCUCGAGUGGUGGUCACUUUUUAUUGAGCCUAAAGCGUUUGUAGCCGGUUUUGCAAAAUCUUCAGAUAAAUUCCUCUGCUUAACAGAUGAUCUUCUGAAGAGACUGCGAGACUUGGGACCGGGUGAGGUUGAAGGUACUUCCGGGGUAGGGGUAAAAAUCCUGUAAUCCUGGAAGGACGACCGGUGGCGAAGGCGUUCAACUAGAACGGAUCCGACGGUGAGGAACGAGGGCUAGGGUAGCAAACCGGAUUAGAUACCCGGGUAGUCCUAGCUGUAAACACUGCCCACUUGGUGUUGCCCCUCCGAUGAGGGGAGGCAGUGCCGGAGCGAAGGUGUUAAGUGGGCCGCUUGGGGAGUAUGGUCGCAAGGCUGAAACUUAAAGGAAUUGGCGGGGGAGCACCGCAACGGGAGGAGCGUGCGGUUUAAUUGGAUUCAACGCCGGAAAACUCACCGGGAGCGACCUUUGGAUGAGAGUCAGCCUGAUGAGCUUACUCGAUAGAAGGAGAGGUGGUGCAUGGCCGUCGUCAGCUCGUACCGUAGGGCGUUCACUUAAGUGUGAUAACGAGCGAGACCCCCAUCUCUAAUUGCUAACGUGCAUUCGCGUGCACGCGCACUUUAGAGGGACCGCCAGUGCUAAACUGGAGGAAGGAGGGGUCGACGGCAGGUCAGUACGCCCCGAAUCUCCCGGGCAACACGCGCGCUACAAAGGGCAGGACAAUGAGUUGCCACCUCGAAAGGGGGAGCUAACCUCGAAACCUGUUCGUAGUUAGGAUUGAGGGCUGUAACUCGCCCUCAUGAAUGUGGAUUCCGUAGUAAUCGCGGGUCAACAGCCCGCGGUGAAUAUGCCCCUGCUCCUUGCACACACCGCCCGUCAAACCAUCCGAGCUGGUGCUGGAUGAGGGUAUGCUCUUAUGGGCAAACUCAAAAUCUAUGUCCUGAUUGGU